UAAUGGUGAUUAGAACUAACUCACUAACACAGAUAAGCAUAGCAUUUCCACACAACUAUCCAGGAAUGAAAUAUCUUCACAAGCCAAUUUUUUUCAUUCGCAACUAACAAUGUUUACAUGUUUUUCACAUGCUAUGUUGGAUUCUUAGUCGUGUUUCUACAAAAAAUCAAUUAAAAGGAUGUGAUUCGCUAUUGUAGUUC
rnacentral:lncRNA from 1 species